rnacentral:lncRNA from 1 species
GGACUUACUCUGAUGCUGAUAGACCUGGCAUGGCCGAUGUCCACUGAAGGGGCAGUUUUGGGGGACCCUGCUAGUGUCUCGGGCCAACUGGAUCUGACCCCCAAGCCAGUGUGGCCGGCUGAUGAAGGAGGACCAUGCCCAGGUCACUCUUGGCUGCAAUGGUCCUGACUCGGGGCACAAAGUUGGGGUGCAGGCAGAUCCAGGAGCCGUUGAGCCAGGUCCCCAAGCCCCUCAUAGGCAGGAGGCCUGGAUUUCUGAGGGGCAUAAUGAGAGGAAUUCAGGUCCCUGGAGUGGGAAGAGGAACUCUAGCACCUAGCACCCGGCUUAGACACACAGGACAAUCAUCAAUCCAGCACCAGCAGCACAGGAGAGAGCCAGGCUUAGGCCACAGAGGCCCAGAAGAGCCCUCAUCGUCCCAUUCCGGUCCACAGGCUGGGAUGGCAUCCACAGUGCCAAGGGUGCUCGAGCUCUGCCCACUCUGGAGCGGAAAUGUUGAGGUCACAGGGACCCCCCAGUGUGACAUCUGCGUUGCCAGUCACCGUGCUAGGGGCAGCUCCCCCUGCUUCUGCUGCAGCCCAGCCCACACCCCCAUGUUUACCCUUACUCAGUGUCAGCUGAUUCAGCCAGAGGCACAGAGGAGAAGGAGGAAGGCCAAGAAACAGAGGGAAGAAGUCUGUCCAGGGCUUAAAGGAUGGAGAAUGAGCCAGUCAUGGGGUCAAACAUGAUUCUUUACUACCCGAGCCUGCCGGCUUUUCUCUGUGGCCCUGGGGGUGGGGGGUGGCGUGGCAAUUGCUGGGAUUCUGGGACAGGAAGGUCUGGGGCAGGUCCUUGCAAGUCUCCUGCUGAGUCCAUCAGAGGGCUGGUGGCCACCGCCUUCCCCCCCACUCCUCCUGCUCCUUCUCCUCCCCUCCUUGUGCCAUAACAGAUGCGAGACAGAGACCCAAUCAGAAAUUUAAUGUGGAGGUUUAUUAAAGAGCACAUCUGCAAGGGGUAUGCACACCCAAAUCAAGCAGCCCCAAUCAGGGGUCGAGCUAGGGUUUAUAUGGAAAAGAGCAUGGGAAAGAAAUGCCAGGGAGAAGGAUGAGGUAAUCCAAAGGUGCAGGUGUCUUUGGGGGAGGGGGGGCGCUAUGGAUGGGAAAGUACAGGGAGUAUACCGGACCGUGAGGGAGAUAACAGAGGUAUGGAUCUUUGGAGUCUGGCAGGAGGAAGAGUCCUUGGGCUGGCCAAAGACAAAACUCCUUGGGCUGGCCAAAGCACCCCUCUCCCUCUGUCUUGAUGAAAGAAUGCUCUGCAACAAGGGAAAGCUUUCUCACAACACAGGAACUUACUAAGGAACUGGGAGGCUUCCAGAGACAUGAUCUGAGGGCUGGGGCCUGAGCAGCCCAGCUCUGUGUAGCUGUACCAGGGAGAGAGAUAAGGGUCGUUCUGAGGCCCAUGCAAGAAGAACUGCUAGGCACAGUGUCCUUGGGCUGGGGAGUGGUUGUCAGAGACAGUGUUUCUGAGACUAGGGAGAAAUUGGGGCACAAGCACAAGGACCCGAGCACCCCAUCAUUACAGAUCAGAGAUCACCCAAAUCAAACCAGGUGUGCUGGUCUCCGGUAUUAACAUAAUUAUCUAAAGCGAUUAUAUGGCAAGCUUUCUUAUCCAUUUACCUUGGAGGUAAGGGCUGUGCUAAGCUAUGCAACAGUACAUUUCCCUAUUGUUCAGAUUUAGGAGGAAAGAGGU